GGAUGUGAGGGCGAUCUGGCUGCGACAUCUGUCACCCCAUUGAUCGCCAGGGUUGAUUCGGCUGAUCUGGCUGGCUACGCGGGUGUCCCCUUCCUCCCUCACCGCUCCAUGUGCGUCCCUCCCAAAGCUGCGCGCUCAGUCGAAGAGGACGACCUUCCCCGAUAGAGGAGGACCGUUCUUCCGUCAAGGGUAUACGAGUAGCUGCGCUCCCCUGCUAGAACCUCCAAACAAGCUCUCAAGACUCUGUUGGGAAGUGGUCUUCUAAUGUGCCCAAGAGAAGAGAAUUGCUUU
ensembl:misc_RNA 7SK 7SK RNA